rnacentral:lncRNA from 1 species
GUGCACUUACUGAAGCUUUAGGGUUGUUAUGGUGCUAAAGUUUGCUUUUUUUUCUUCCCACCACUCCAGCAAAAGGAAAGAGCACACACUCUGGAGGAGUAGUUUGCACUCCACUUCAUAAAAAAGCGUUCUCACCAGCAGCCAUGACUUGCUCUAGGAGAAAGGCUCUUGGUAAAAAAGCAAUCACUACGUCUGCAGCCAUGUCUCACUCUGGGGGAAAGGCUCUUGGUAAAAAAGUAAACACUGUACCUGAAGGCACAUAUCAGCCUUUGAGAAGGGCUCUUGGAAAGGUGAAUACAACUACAGGAGUCACGAGCAAGAUGCCCCAGAUGAAGCAGGAAAAUCAGCCCCAGAUGAAGCAGGAAAAUCAGCCCCAGAUGAAGCAGGAAAAUCAGCCUUGCACUGCAAACAAAACUGAUGAAAAGACUGAAUUAGACAGCUGGACUUCAGAGUCUGAUGAAGAUUUGGUAGAGUGUAAAGAAGAAGAUUGGGUUGAGUCUGAAGAAGAUUGGCCAGAAGUAGAAAAUAUGUUUCAUUUUGAUCCUCAAGACUUUGAGGUCUUUGAUGUUCCUGAGGAGUGCAAACUAAGCAAUCUGGACCUGCAUGGUGUUCCCCU